GACGAACGCUGGCGGCGUGCCUAAUACAUGCAAGUCGAACGCUUCUUUCCUCCCGUUGCCUUGCUGUCGAUUGGAAAGAGGGGGGGCGUACGGGGUAGUAACCCUUGCUUAACCUACGCAUCAACGUGGGAUAACACGUGCUAACAGGGGCUAAUACCUUGUAACACUUUAUUCCACAUGGCAUGACGGUGUUGGUGGCACUUGUGGAUCGCUGCUGGCUGCAUCCGCGCUGCAUUAGCUAGUUGGCGAGGUAACGGCUUACCAAGGCAACGAUGCAUAGCCGACCUGAGAGGGUGAUCGGCCACACUGGAACUGAGACACGGCCCAGACUCCUACGGGAGGCAGCAGUAGGGAAUCUUCGGCAAUGGACGAAAGUCUGACCGAGCAACGCCGCGUGAGUGAAGAAGGUCUUCGGAUCGUAAAACUCUGUUGUUAGGGAAGAACAAAGAUGUUAGUAACUGAGCGCACCCUGACGGUACCUAAUCAGAAAGCCACGGCUAACUACGUG
rnacentral:rRNA from 1 species